rnacentral:rRNA from 2 species
GGUUGCGAUCAUACCAGCACUAAUGCACCGGAUCCCAUCAGAACUCCGCAGUUAAGCGUGCUUGGGCGAGAGGAGUACUAGGAUGGGUGACCCCCUGGGAAGUCCUCGUGUUGCAACCC